rnacentral:rRNA from 1 species
AUUGAACGCUGGCGGCAGGCCUAACACAUGCAAGUCGAACGGUAGCACAGAGAGCUUGCUCUCGGGUGACGAGUGGCGGACGGGUGAGUAACGUCUGGGAAACUGCCCGAUGGAGGGGGAUAACUACUGGAAACGGUAGCUAAUACCGCAUAACGUCGCAAGACCAAAGUGGGGGACCUUCGGGCCUCACACCAUCGGAUGUGCCCAGAUGGGAUUAGCUAGUAGGUGGGGUAAUGGCUCACCUAGGCGACGAUCCCUAGCUGGUCUGAGAGGAUGGCCAGCCACACUGGAGCUGAGACCCGGUCCAGAGUCCUACGGGAGGCAGCAGUGGGGAACAUUGCACAAUGGGCGCAAGCCGGAUGCAGCCAUGCCGCGUGUAUGAAGAAGGCCUUCGGGUUGUAAAGUACUUUCAGCGGGGAGGAAGGCGGUGAAGUUAAUAGCUUCACCGAUUGACGUUACCCGCAGAAGAAGCACCGGCUAACUCCGUGCCAGCAGCCGCGGUAA